CUGCGGCAGCGACACUGUGUGUUGUUGGGUAGGGGAGCGUUCUGUAAGCCUGUGAAGGUGUGUCGUGAGGCAUGCUGGAGGUAUCAGAAGUGCGAAUGCUGACAUAAGUAACGAUAAAGCGGGUGAAAAGCCCGCUCGCCGGAAGACCAAGGGUUCCUGUCCAACGUUAAUCGGGGCAGGGUGAGUCGACCCCUAAGGCGAGGCCGAAAGGCGUAGUCGAUGGGAAACGGGUUAAUAUUCCCGUACUUGGUGUUACUGCGAAGGGGGGACGGAGAAGGCUAUGUUGGCCGGGCGACGGUUGUCCCGGUUUAAGCGUGUAGGUGUGUGUUCCAGGUAAAUCCGGUUCACUUUAACACUGAGGCGUGACGACGAGGCACUACGGUGCUGAAGCAACAAAUGCCCUGCUUCCAGGAAAAGCCUCUAAGCAUCAGGUAACAUCAAAUCGUACCCCAAACCGACACAGGUGGUCAGGUAGAGAAUACCAAGGCGCUUGAGAGAACUCGGGUGAAGGAACUAGGCAAAAUGGUGCCGUAACUUCGGGAGAAGGCACGCUGACACGUAGGUGAAGUGAUUUACUCAUGGAGCUGAAGUCAGUCGAAGAUACCAGCUGGCUGCAACUGUUUAUUAAAAACACAGCACUGUGCAAACACGAAAGUGGACGUAUACGGUGUGACGCCUGCCCGGUGCCGGAAGGUUAAUUGAUGGGGUCAGCGCAAGCGAAGCUCCUGAUCGAAGCCCCGGUAAACGGCGGCCGUAACUAUAACGGUCCUAAGGUAGCGAAAUUCCUUGUCGGGUAAGUUCCGACCUGCACGAAUGGCGUAAUGAUGGCCAGGCUGUCUCCACCCGAGACUCAGUGAAAUUGAACUCGCUGUGAAGAUGCAGUGUACCCGCGGCAAGACGGAAAGACCCCGUGAACCUUUACUAUAGCUUGACACUGAACAUUGAGCCUUGAUGUGUAGGAUAGGUGGGAGGCUUUGAAGUGUGGACGCCAGUCUGCAUGGAGCCGACCUUGAAAUACCACCCUUUAAUGUUUGAUGUUCUAACGUGGACCCGUUACCCGGGUUGCGGACAGUGUCUGGUGGGUAGUUUGACUGGGGCGGUCUCCUCCUAAAGAGUAACGGAGGAGCACGA
rnacentral:rRNA from 3 species